CCUGAAUUGAUGCCUGUGCCAGAUACCAUCUUCUUCAGCAAUGUGGUUUUACCCUUGACUUCCAGAAAGGAAGGAAGAGCAAUGGCAGCAGUCUUUAAUGAUUGGGGAGUAUGUAUGAGACUCAAUGAUGAGCAACCUCAAACAAGGUGAUAUUUGGAUGGCCACACACACCAACAACAUCAGCAAAACUGGUGUGAAGAAAAAUAUCUAUGUCCUUACAUCUUGGUCUAUACCUGUUAACAACCAGCAUUGCAACAUCACAUAGGCGGGUGGAGGUAGCCAGGCUAGUACCAAAACAUGCCCCAGUCCUCCUUUCCCACUCUGGGAUUGCAGGCAUGAUUGCAACAUCACACCCAGAUCUUCCUCAUUUUAAAAGAGUAAUCAUAUCCAGGGAAGAGCAUCCCAAGACAACGUAAAGAGCUCAGCAAGUGUAUGUCAUGCAGCCCGGCAGCUCUGUUGAAGCUGUUGCCACACGGAAAUGCUGGUAACUCUUUAGGGGUGUCUGUGCCUUCUUCACUUGCGCACCAUCUCUUCUCAAUAAACAACAACAACAA
rnacentral:lncRNA from 1 species